GUUGACGCAGUUGUUCAGUGCUUGCGAUACGCCCUUGGCAACCUGCAAUUAGCGAUUAAAGGUUACCUGACCUCAAUUAAGGCAUUCGCGGCUGCAAGGAGGGUUGCAGAAGAAAAGGUCAUACAAACGCUGGUCUCAUUUCUCACCUGUGCAAGUCGCUGUUGAUUGUUCGGGUCUCCUGGAUUAUUCAGUGCUUUCUUCGCCUCGUUAAUUAGUUUGGCUGAUUCUUGGAUCACACCACGCGCCGCCUGUACGAUAUUCUUCUGCGCGUCCUUAUCGCUAGUUCCAGCAGCCACGCCCCUCACAGCCUGCGUCAGGUUCUUCAGGGCGUUGGCCGUGUCACGUGCGGCAAUGCCUGUGUAGCUCUCAUUGCCCUGUAAACCAUCGUACACACAAAGACAUUCAAAGUAGACAACGGGAUUACACUGUACCAAACAGCAGGGGUCAUACACUACACAAAGAAAACUUCGCACCUGUGCAGCAGCAGUUAACAGCUGAGCCAUAGACGAUCCCACAGUCUUGGACGUGGCACCGAGCUCAAGCGCAGAAGACUCAGGCUAAAGGAGAAAG